ACGCACGCAAGUGUGAAACUCAAAGGAAUUGACGGGGGCCCGCACAAGCGGUGGAGUAUGUGGUUUAAUUCGAUGCAACGCGAAGAACCUUACCAGGGUUUGACAUCCUGCGAAUCUCUUGGAAACGAGAGAGUGCCUUCGGGAACGCAGUGACAGGUGGUGCAUGGCUGUCGUCAGCUCGUGUCGUGAGAUGUUGGGUUAAGUCCCGCAACGAGCGCAACCCACGUCGUUAGUUGCCAGCAUUUAGUUGGGCACUCUAGCGAGACCGCCGGUGAUAAACCGGAGGAAGGUGUGGAUGACGUCAAGUCAUCAUGCCCCUUACAUCCUGGGCUACACACGUACUACAAUGCUACGGACAAAGGGCAGCAAGCUCGCGAGAGUUAGCAAAUCCCAUAAACCGUGGCUCAGUUCAGAUCGUAGGCUGCAACUCGCCUACGUGAAGGAGGAAUCGCUAGUAAUCGCAGGUCAGCAUACUGCGGUGAAUACGUUCCCGGGCCUUGUACACACCGCCCGUCACACCAUGGAAGUUGGCCACGCCCGAAGCCGUUACUCCAACCCUUGUGGAGGAGGACGUCGAAGGUGGGGCUGAUGACUGGGGUG
rnacentral:rRNA from 1 species